rnacentral:lncRNA from 1 species
UUAUGCUUGUUUUGGUAUUGGUUGGUAUUGACAUGAAAAUAGGUACAUUAGGGUGGCAAAAAGGAUUGGUAGAUAGCCUCAUAUUGUGCACACGAGUAGACACACGGGCGUAUGUCUAGGCCAUGUGUGACACACGGUCAGCCCCAUGGGUGUGUGAGAAGGCCGUGCGUCCUUUGCAUCUAGAAAUUUCAAGUCAGAAUGCAUGGUAAGGUCACACGGGUAGAGACACGGCCAUGUGUCUCAGCCGUGUGGAGGGCACGACCUAGUACACGGGCUUGUACCAUGGUCGUGUGAUGCUGACGUCAGAAACAGAAUACCCAGGUUUUUGCACACAAGCUGCGCCACCAGCAUGUUAUGGCCGUGUGAAAGGACACGAGCAAAGGACACGGGCGUGUGUCUAGGCCAUGUGAAGACUGUACUUGUUUUAUGAAAAAUUGUAAAAAUUAAAUUGGCUACACGGGUGCAAGACAUGGGUGUGUCCCAAGCACACGGGCGUGUAGAACCUUAAAGGACGAAAUUUUCUAAGUUUUUUUUGAGCCCCGGUUUAGUCUCGAACCACCUCGAAUGUAUGUUUUGGGCCUCGUAAGCCCAAUUAAGGGACAGUUUGCAUAUGAAAUAAAAAGUUUUAAAUUGA